CAUUGAAGCUUGCUUCGAUGGGCGUCGACCGGCGCACGGGUGAGUAACGCGUAUCCAACCUGCCUCUGACUAAGGGAUAACCCGGCGAAAGUCGGACUAAUACCUUAUGAGGUUUUCUGCAGACAUCUAACGAAAACGAAAGAUUUAUCGGUCAGCGAUGGGGAUGCGUCUGAUUAGCUUGUUGGCGGGGUAACGGCCCACCAAGGCAACGAUCAGUAGGGGUUCUGAGAGGAAGGUCCCCCACAUUGGAACUGAGACACGGUCCAAACUCCUACGGGAGGCUGCAGUGAGGAAUAUUGGUCAAUGGGCGAGAGCCUGAACCAGCCAAGUAGCGUGCAGGAUGACGGCCCUAUGGGCUGUAAACUGCUUUUAUGUGGGGAUAAAGUGAGCUACGUGUAGUUUAUUGCAGGUACCACAUGAAUAAGGACCGGCUAAUUCCGUGCCAGCAGCCGCGGUAAUACGGAAGGUCCAGGCGUUAUCCGGAUUUAUUGGGUUUAAAGGGAGCGUAGGCCGUGGAUUAAGCGCGUUGUGAAAUGUAGACGCUCAACGUCUGAAUUGCAGCGCGAACUGGUUCACUUGAGUAUGCACAACGUAGGCGGAAUUCGUCGUGUAGCGGUGAAAUGCUUAGAUAUGACGAAGAACUCCGAUUGCGAAGGCAGCUUACGGGAGCACAACUGACGCUGAAGCUCGAAGGUGCGGGUAUCAAACAGGAUUAGAUACCCUGGUAGUCCGCACAGUAAACGAUGGAUGCCCGUUGUUAGUUCACUUAUGAAUUAGCGACCAAGC
rnacentral:rRNA from 1 species